rnacentral:rRNA from 1 species
AGAAUCAACGCUGGCGGCGUGCCUAACACAUGCAAGUCGCACGAGAAAGGGGAGCAAUCCCUGAGUAAAGUGGCGCACGGGUGAGUAACACGUGAAUCAUCUACCUCCGAGUGGGGAAUAACCUAGAGAAAUCUGGGCUAAUACCGCAUAACACUUACGAGUCAAAGCAGCAAUGCGCUUGGAGAGGAGUUCGCGGCCGAUUAACUAGUUGGCGGGGUAAUGGCCCACCAAGGCGAUGAUCGGUA